ACUUUUUCCCUAAAUCGGCUCUCCUUUCCCCCCCCCGGAAAUCCCAAAAUCUCUUUUUUUUCCCUCCUUUCUUUUUCCCAAAAUCGGUUCCCUCCCCCUCCCCAAAAUUAAUGGCUGAAGAAGCAGCAGUAGCAUCGACGCCGCCUCAAUCAUCUGUAAGGGGGAGAGAUGGUGAAAUUGAGUAUUCAAAAAAAUGGGAAGGUGUUGUGUUUGGGAGCUGUCGCAGGGGGAGACGUCGACGAGCGGCAGCUGGACAACUCAUAUAAACCCCAUAGCAGAGACCAAAAACCCUUUCCCCAUGCAAAAGCAAAAGCAAAGAUUCCCCCAAAACCUCUUUCCUUUUGUUCUUCUACAUGUACCUUUAAGACGUGGCGUUGCGUCCUCUUGUUUCGAUUUUUCUUUUAAAUGACCUUUUCUCUCUGUUAGUUUUUGCUGGUUCAUUCAUUCAAUUUUCGGUUGUUUUUGAAUCAGACGACCCGAAUUUACCCGAAGGCAAAAGAAGAGCUUUACUCCCUGUCUAGUUUCAUCUCUUUUCAAUCAAUUCGCCUCCUUUUAAUCUUCAAGUGGUUGACUGAAGGGGAAGUGCUGGAUUGGUUAAUGUCAAAUCUUUAUAACCGGGAUUUCAUUCUAGAAUUUGUCGGUGUGGAUGGAAACCAAAUUGCACCCUUUUGACUCAGUAGAGGAUAAUGAAUUGCCUUCCGGAAAAUUAAAAGAUUUGCCUCGUGGGAUUAUGCACACUCGCUCAGAUUUGGAACUAAGGCCUCAAUGGAGAAAGAGUUUACGGUCAACGGACAAUCAAAUAACUGGACCAUGGAUAGCUCAGGGAGUGCUGUUGGUAGGAAAGAAAGUGGAAUAGUUCCACCAUUGGAUAUAACAGGAGGUGAUGAAAGUUGUAUCAUUGUGAAUGAAGCUGAACUUCAUUGUCAUCCUCAUAGGCAAGGCAAACAAAAAUUGAAAACUACGGUCUUUUUGUUUUUCUUUCUUUCCAUAAAUGUAAAUGUGCUUAAAAUUUAUUUAAAAAUUCUCAUCGACAUAAAUUUUCAUAAAUUGUAUUAUCUCUCUGUUGCUGGUAGAUUGCCCAUUUAUUUAAACAUAAUAUUUAAAUUCAAAA